CCAUCAUUCCCAGCCCCCCUUACUUAAUACCUACAAUUCUCUUUGGCUGUGUUUAGAUAAUGAAUUUAGGUAGGAAUUUAGAAAGAGAAAGGAAUUUGUAGUAAUUAAUGAUUAGGUCAAGGUUAAGUAGGUGUAAAAAUUGAGUUUAUUAACUUCUAAGUCACUUUUAAUAUCUAAUCCAACAGUAACUCCAUAAGCCAACCCUAAUCCAUUUUUACCUAAGAGUUAUGAUAUAAGGUAAAUUAUAAAUUUUAUUCAUGGGUAAGAAAAUUUUAACGCUUACAAAGUAGACAAGGAAUAAUUAGUUUAUUCACAAUUUAAUUUAUUAUAUUGGGUGAACUCUAUGAUAGGAUAAAUUAAAAUUAUAAAACUCAAAGGAUGCAAUGCGUUUAUAUUUUAUGGGAAAUGUAUUUUUUGUAAUUUAACCUUUAAUUUGUACUCAUUAAACUAUGACAUGUAUUUCUUAUCAAGAAUUUAUUAGUUGAUGUUCUAAGUUGGCCAAGACACCUGGAUAUCAAAAAAAAAAA